rnacentral:rRNA from 1 species
AGUGAACGCUGGCGGUAGGCCUAACACAUGCAAGUCGAACGGCAGCACAGUAAGAGCUUGCUCUUACGGGUGGCGAGUGGCGGACGGGUGAGGAAUACAUCGGAAUCUACUUUUUCGUGGGGGAUAACGUAGGGAAACUUACGCUAAUACCGCAUACGACCUACGGGUGAAAGCAGGGGAUCUUCGGACCUUGCGCGAUUGAAUGAGCCGAUGUCGGAUUAGCUAGUUGGCGGGGUAAAGGCCCACCAAGGCGACGAUCCGUAGCUGGUCUGAGAGGAUGUUCACCACAACUGGAAUGGGAACGCGGUCCAGACCCCAACGGGAGGGGAGGUGGGGGAAUUUUAGACAAGGGGAGGAAGCCUAACCCAGCCAACCCGCGUGGGGGAAGAAGGCCUGGGGGUUGGAAAGCCCUUUUUUUGGGAAAGAAAAGAAGCAGGUUAAUACCCCGGUGUUUUGAGGGAGCCAAAGAAAAAGGCCCCGGUAAAUUUGGG